UACGUAGGGUGCGAGCGUUAAUCGGAAUUACUGGGCGUAAAGCGUGCGCAGGCGGUUUGCUAAGACCGAUGUGAAAUCCCCGGGCUUAACCUGGGAACUGCAUUGGUGACUGGCAGGCUAGAGUAUGGCAGAGGGGGGUAGAAUUCCACGUGUAGCAGUGAAAUGCGUAGAGAUGUGGAGGAACACCGAUGGCGAAGGCAAUCCCCUGGACCUGUACUGACGCUCAUGCACGAAAGCGUGGGGAGCAAACAGG
rnacentral:rRNA from 1 species